rnacentral:lncRNA from 1 species
GCUGAGCCUCUGGAGUCCACCUGAAUAAGGCUGGCAUCAGUUUCCUCUGUUUUAUCUACUUCUUGCCCUUCCAUAUCCCAAAGAGAAGAUGCUCUGUCAAAGGGCUGUCAGCUGGUGCCAUCCGCAACUAACUCCACGUUCUGGGAGUUGCCGAGGGCUGCCUGGGCGGCCAUCCCAGGACACCAGACCACUCGGCUCGUAUCUCUGGUUACUUCCUGCGCUGGGGAAAAAAGAACACGCUUGCUCUCCUGGGUCCUCGGGUAAACUACAGGCGGCUUCUCCUGGGUUGGAAUCCGUUUUGGCGGUCGCCUAAUUCCGCGAGGGCUUUUUCACGGCUUCAAGCCAAGAGCGCUGAAGGGAGGAAAGGUAUACUGAUGCCGUAGGGCUGAGGGAGGGAUUCCAGGCUCCUGGGGUGUUCUUCUGCAGCAGGACCCCUCGCUGGCCGCUGCCAGCCCACUUCCGGAGGAGUUGGCCUCGUCUAGCCAACAGUUCAGUGGGAUUUCUUUCUUGGACAUAACUUCAUAUCAUUGAAAUAGUCUACAAAAGACACCAGCUCAAGCCGCGAGGGCGUUGAAUUGUCCGGAUUUGGGGUGGCGGUUAAUGCUCCUCUUCUGGUGCCUCCCCCGCUGGGGCCCUGCAUUCCAUUAGCCCCGCGCUGGGGUAGAGAUGCCAAGUUUAGGGGCUGGAGAGGACAAGGGGAAGGACGAGAGAACUCUUGCACCGACGGAUGUAGUUCCAAGCGACCCGAAAUGAGGAAAACCCAGAAGGGGCGGACGGAGGGCAAAGUCGGCCCAGGACGAUCUUCAGGCGCACCAUUCUCUCGCCCUGGAGGGACAGGGAAGGGCGGAAGCGGAGGGUGGCUGUCCAGCCGGGAGCCUCUGAUCCACGGGGCUUGGACCAGCCACCCCACCCGAGGGCGGCUGAGGACUGGGCGGCCGAGCUCGCGGCCCACUUAGCUAAUGCCGGGUAAUGCCGACCCCGGCCCAAGAGCAGCAGCUGCACUUGGGAAGGAAAACUCUUUAAACAAAUCAUUUUGGUGUCU